UACGAGGGAUGCAAGCGUUAUCCGGAAUUAUUGGGCGUAAAGCGUUUGUAGGCGGGCGAGUGUGUUUAAUGUUAAAUCUUAAAGCCCAACUUUGAAAUUGCGUUAAAAACUGCUUGUCUUGAGUAUGGUAGGGGUAAAGGGAAUUCCCAGUGUAGCGGUGAAAUGCGUAGAUAUUGGGAAGAACACUAAACAGCGAAGGCACUUUACUAGGCUAAUACUGACGCUGAGAAACGAAAGGUAAGGUAGCGAAACGGAUUAGAUACCCGUGUAGUCUUACCCGUAAACUAUGGACACUAAACGGUAAAUUUUUAAUUUACUGUUAAAGCUAACGCGUUAAGUGUCCCGCCUGGGGAGUAUGCUUGCAAAAGUGAAACUCAAAGGAAUUGACGGGGGCCCGCACAAGCGGUGGAGCAUGUGGUUUAAUUCGACGGUACACGAAGAACCUUACCAGGAUUUGACAUGCUAGAUAGUUGCUUGAAAGAGUAACGUGCCGUAAGGAAUCUAGACACAGGUGGUGCAUGGCUGUCGUCAGUUCGUGUUGUGAAAUGUUGGGUUAAGUCCCGCAACGAACGCAACCCUUGUCUUUAGUUAUUUUCUAAAGAGACUGCCUGUAAUAAACAGGAGGAAGGUAAGGAUGAGGUCAAGUCAUCAUGCCCCUUAUGUCCUGGGCUACACACGUGCUACAAUGGGAAAGACAAUGAGCUGCAAAUCUGUAAAUUUAAGCAAAUCUCUUAAACUUUCUCGUAGUUCGGAUUGUGGGCUGCAACUCGCCCACAUGAAGUUGGAAUCGCUAGUAAUCGCCAGUCAGCUAUAUGGCGGUGAAUCCGUUCCCGGGCCU
rnacentral:rRNA from 1 species